rnacentral:rRNA from 1 species
UACGGGGGGAGCAAGCGUUGUUCGGAUUUACUGGGCGUAAAGGGCGCGUAGGCGGUCAGCACAAGUCAGUUGUGAAAUCUCCGGGCUUAACUCGGAAAGGUCAACUGAUACUGUGCGGCUAGAGUGCAGAAGGGGCAACUGGAAUUCUCGGUGUAGCGGUGAAAUGCGUAGAUAUCGGGAGGAACACCAAUGGCGAAGGCAGCUCGCUGGGACGGUACUGACGCUGAGACGCGAAAGCGUGGGGAGCAAACAGG